CCCCAAAAACCCCAAGGUGGGACGGGGCUCCCCAAAGGGCUCCCAUAGGAGCUGUGGUAAAUGACUAAUGUCCCCUUUAAAAAAGGAGAGGGCAGGGCUGGUGCCAGCCGCCGCCCUAAAACCAGCUCUUCAAGUGGUCGGGAUAAUUAUUGGGCUUAAAGUGUCCGUAGCUGGUAAGGUAAGUUCCUGGUAAAAUGGGGCAGCUUAACUGUCUUUAUGCUAGGAAUACUGCUUUACUAGAGGGCGGGAGAAGUUUGAGGUACUACAGGGGUAGGGGUGAAAUCUUAUAAUCCUUGUAGGACCACCAGUGGCGAAAGCGUCAGACUGGAACGCGCCUGACAGUGAGGGACGAAAGCCAGGGGAGCGAACCGGAUUAGAUACCCGGGUAGUCCUGGCCGUAAACGAUGCACACUAGAUGAUGGUGCGGCCAUGAGCCGUAUCAGUGUCGUAGGGAAACCGUUAAGUGUGCCGCCUGGGAAGUACGGUCGCAAGGCUUAAACUUAAAGGAAUUGGCGGGGGA
rnacentral:rRNA from 1 species